UCGGGAAUUUUGGGCAAUGGGCGAAAGCCUGACCCAGCAACGCCGCGUGAGGGAUGAAGUAUUUCGGUAUGUAAACCUCGAAAGAAUGGGAAGAAUAAAUGACGGUACCAUUUAUAAGCUCCGGCUAACUACGUGCCAGCAGCCGCGGUAAUACGUAGGGAGCAAGCGUUGUUCGGAUUUACUGGGCGUAAAGGGCGCGUAGGCGGCGCGGUAAGUCACUUGUGAAAUCUCUGAGCUUAACUCAGAACGGCCAAGUGAUACUGCUGGGCUAGAGGGCGGAAGAGGCAAUCGGAAUGCUGGGUGUAGCGGUGAAAUGCGUAGAUAUCAAGAGGAACACCUGAGGCGAAGGCGGGUUGCUGGGCCGACACUGACGCUGAUGCGCGAAAGCCCGGGGAGCAAACA
rnacentral:rRNA from 1 species